rnacentral:ribozyme from 1 species
UGCCCAGAAACUUCAAUUCCUACCUUCUCGCGGUAUUGGCCGGGGUAUGACUAACCUUAGUGAAGCUCAGGUAACCAACCCCGGCGAGAACUUUACUGUAUGCUGACGGGGGGGG